rnacentral:rRNA from 1 species
UGAGCAACCUACCCUUGACUCCGGGAUAACAGUUGGAAACAGCUGCUAAUACCGGAUACGACCUCGACCGACAUCAGUUGAGGUGGAAAGUUCUGGCGGUCAAGGAUGGGCUCGCGGCCUAUCAGCUAGUUGGUGAGGUAACGGCUCACCAAGGCAACGACGGGUANCUGGUCUGAGAGGAUGGCCAGCCACACUGGGACUGAGACACGGCCCAGACCUCCGUAGGGAGG